AGCGAACGCUGGCGGCAGGCCUAACACAUGCAAGUCGAACGAACCUUUCGGGGUUAGUGGCGGACGGGUGAGUAACACGUGGGAACGUGCCUUUAGGUUCGGAAUAACUCAGGGAAACUUGCGCUAAUACCGAAUGUGCCCUUCGGGGGAAAGAUUAAUCGCCUUUAGAGCGGCCCGCGUCUGAUUAGCUAGUUGGUUGAGGUAAUGGCUCACCAAGGCGACGAUCAGUAGCUGGUCUGAGAGGAUGAUCAGCCACAUUGGGACUGAGACACGGCCCAAACUCCUACGGGAGGCAGCAGUGGGGAAUCUUGCGCAAUGGGCGAAAGCCUGACGCAGCCAUGCCGCGUGAAUGAUGAAGGUCUUAGGAUUGUAAAAUUCUUUCACCGGGGACGAUAAUGACGGUACCCGGAGAAGAAGCCCCGGCUAACUUCGUG
rnacentral:rRNA from 1 species